rnacentral:rRNA from 1 species
GAUGAACGCUGGCGGCGUGCCUAAUACAUGCAAGUCGAGCGAACGGACGAGAAGCUUGCUUCUCUGACGUUAGCGGCGGACGGGUGAGUAACACGUGGAUAACCUACCUAUAAGACUGGUAUAACUUCGGGAAACCGGCGCUAAUACCGGAUAAUAUUUUGAACCGCAUGGUUCAAAAGUGAAAGACGGUCUUGCUGUCACUUAUAGAUGGAUCCGCGCUGCAUUAGCUAGUUGGUAAGGUAACGGCUUACCAAGGCAACGAUGCAUAGCCGACCUGAGAGGGUGAUCGGCCACACUGGAACGGAGACACGGUCCAGACUCCUACGGGAGGCAGCAGUAGGGAAUCUUCCGCAAUGGGCGAAAGCCUGACGGAGCAACGCCGCGUGAGUGAUGAAGGUCUUCGGAUCGUAAAACUCUGUUAUUAGGGAAGAACAUAUGUGUAAGUAACUGUGCACAUCUUGACGGUACCUAAUCAGAAAGCCACGGCUAACUACGUG